CAAGCCACCUCCUUGCUGGCAGAGCCUGGCUGUGGCCACUGGCCCAGCUCUGCGUCUCCUGCAAACGCGGCACAAGGUCACUGCCCUGCCUGUUCUGCUGCAACAAGGGAGGGAAGGAAAACCACAGGAUGUGACCCUCCUGCCAAGGCACUACUCUGAUACUCAGAGAAUUCUGAGCAGCCCCAGAGUCUCACCAAUCUAAUGGAGCAGCCCUCUUCCUUCCAUCUCUCUCAGUACCACGCACCAAAGAAAAAAGGUUAAAGAAAUCGAAACUCAGGAUCUGUGCAAAAAGGGAUCUAAGUUUAAUGUGACCAGAAAAGGGAUACAUAACCAUGCAUGUGUAUCUUCCGGGAUAUUUCUCUAUGGAAUGUUUAUAUUUAGAAUGAUUUCAGGCAUUAAGAGUAUCAACUGAAGACAAAGACUAAUCAAAUAAGCCCUUCGGUCUCUAAACAAACUUUCAUACAGUAUUUUAUUAAUCUAAAAUCAAUUAUCCCUUCAGAGAAAAAAAAAAAAACAAACUAAAAAACUUCAAUAUAAUACUUGUCUGAAUAUGUGGUCUGUAUGCUUUUGUGCUCUCCACCUCUCUCUCAGUACAGAUUUUUAUAUUUGCAAGUUACUAGAUUCAGGGAUAGAUUUACACAAUUCAUGCUCACAAAUAUAUCCUGACAUCCUGCAGGAAAGGCACCAAACUAAACUAUAUCAAUCUAGAUGAAUGAUUAGAGACAAAAUAAGCUGUGUAGAACACAAAGAUUUGCAAUAAAAAUUUCUUAGUUUAUUUAAAAUAACAUUUUAAUAAAGCUGUGCCUACAAUUCAGCAUUACCUAAAUAAAGCAUAUUUUUGGUUUAUUAGUAGUAAUCUGUAAAAGUGAAAUGAAUGACAUGCAGCUGAGCUUACAAGUGAUUGCAAGGCAUGGGUAUGCAUUUAUUGCAUUACAGCAGAGCCUUGACAGCUGGCUCUGUUAUUGUGUUUUGUGGGACCAGGUUCUAACAUGCAGUGCUGGGAGAACAAACUCCCUGACUGACAAACACUGAACAGAUAAACUGGCAUGGAAAGGGAGAUGGAACAUCAUGAGCACAUUUAUUGUAUUAAUUACUAGUGACAAAUUGGCAACUCCUCUCCCCUGGUUUUAGAGGUACAUGUGAUUUUAGAAGGACAAGUCAGAUGUACAUUUAACCUUCAAUCCUGCAAGGGCCAGGAGGUCUUUGCUGACACUAAGCUGCAGGACCAGAAGCUAAACUAAUGCCACACUCAUCUUGCUUGCUUUCAGUGCAGAAAAUGUUAAGACAAAUACCAUGACAAG